rfam:Schistosoma haematobium scaffold1900_4, whole genome shotgun sequence.
AUCCAGUUGACGAGUUCCAAAUAGGAGAUAACGCACGUCCUAGAU